rnacentral:rRNA from 1 species
AGAGUUUGAUCCUGGCUCAGGACGAACGCUGGCGGCGUGCCUAACACAUGCAAGUCUGACUGGAACGUUUCCUUCGGGAGACUACUACAGUGGCGGACGGGUGAGUAACGCGUGGGAAUCUACCCGGUAGUGGGGGAUAACCCUCCGAAAGGAGGGCUAAUACCGCAUAAGUCUUACGAGGUAAAGAUGGCCUCUUUACAAUGCUAUCGCUUCCGGAUGAGCCCGCGUCCUAUUAGCUAGUUGGUGAGGUAACGGCUUACCAAGGCAACGAUGGGUAGCCGGUCUGAGAGGAUGAACGGCCACACUGGGACUGAGACACGGCCCAGACUCCUACGGGAGGCAGCAGUGGGGAAUUUUGCGCAAUGGGGGAAACCCUGACGCAGCAACGCCGCGUGAGUGAUGAAGGCUUUCGGGUCGUAAAGCUCUGUCAAGUGGGAAGAACAUGCUUGAUGCUAAUACCAUCUUGCACUGACGGUACCACUGAAGGAAGCACCGGCUAACUCCGUGCCAGCAGCCGCGGUAAUACGGGGGGUGCAAGCGUUAUUCGGAAUUAUUG